CCCUUAGAUGCUCUGGGCCGCACGCGCGCUACACUGAUGCAUUCAACGAGUCUAAAACCUGGUCUGAUAGGGCUGGGUAAUCUUUUGAAUGUGCAUCGUGAUUGGGAUAGAUGAUUGCAAUUCUUCAUCUUCAACGAGGAAUGCCUAGUAAACGCAAGUCAUCAGCUUGCAUUGAUUACGUCCCUGCCCUUUGUACACACCGCCCGUCGCUCCUACCGAUUGAAUGUUCCGAUGAAUACCAUGGACUGAGAGUAUGAAUGGGUUCGCCUAUUUCUGCUUCUCGGGAAGUGGAGUAAAUCUUAACAUUUAGAGGAAGGAGAAGUCGUAACA
rnacentral:rRNA from 1 species